GGGGAGAAGAAACGGAGGGAGAGGGACGAAAGGGGGCUGGAGAGGAGGGGCCAGGCUGCCCGGACCGACGUGGGACAGGUCCUGGACAGCCCAGCCGCCAGGCGAGGCGAGAGGCCCCGAUCGGCAUCCAGGUCUUUGCCUGCGCCUGGAAUGCGCCUCCCUCCCCAAUGCAAGUCCUUGUUUACUGCGACAUCCCUCCCUCCGGCCCGGCCCUGACCCCUCCAGGGCUGGGCGUGUCCUUGUCCGGCUGCGUCUCCACGCCCCGGGCUGGGGGCUCCUCAGGCCCGGGGCGGGGACCUGUCACCCAGCAAUUCGCUGUUUCAAGGUUCGAGUUUCUUAUCCCCAUUUUUAACAUGAGAACCGUCGAAGCCUAGAGAACUUGGGACACGGGUUCGAGCCCUGGUCUGGGAGGAUCCCACAUGCCGCAGAGCAGCUGGGCCCGUGAGCCACAACUACUGAGCCUGUGCAUCUGGAGCCUGUGCCCCGCAACAAGAGAGGCCGCGACAGUGAAAGGCCCGCGCACCGCGAUGAAGAGUGGCCCCCGCUUGCCGCAACUGGAGAAAGCCCUCGCACAGAAACGAAGACUCAACACAGCCAAAAAUAAAUAAAUAAAUAAAUAAAAUUUAAAAAAAAAAAUGUGCAC